AACUUUGCCACCCAGAGCAAGACCUCCACCUCCUUACCCAGAGCCAGACCUUCACCUCCUGUCAGAAGUCCUCCAGAACAGCACAAAGGUGAGGCUGAGAGGCUUGGGACCGGAGGCUUGUGGUGCCAGGAUGGACCUGAGGCUGGAGACCAGGGGCCUGCGGUACCGGACCAGAGGGUAACCAUCACCAAGCUCAUCUGAAACACUAAAAUCCUCAGAGGUUUAGGUCUGGUUUUGAUCAACUUAUGACUUUACAUCUGUGCCAAGCUGUGAUUCGAGUUAAUUCAUACCGGUUUUGUGUAAGAGUCAUAUGAGCCAUUAUUGUUUCUGGUGCUGCUAUGACCGUAGUGGAUGAAUUGCUGAACGCAACAAUCUGCAGACGUUGUUGUUUUAAAUUAGUCUUCCAUUUUACAAGUGAACCUCGGAUGCAGGAGGUGGGGUGUAUUGCGCCCCAAGGUGAUUUACUGCUGAUACCAAAUGUGUUUGUAACCAGACCAGGAAUCCAUGGCUGAAGGAGCUGAUGGAGGAGCCGCGCUGAAGGCCCUGCCUGGUGGAGGAGCUGAUGGAGGCCCUGCCUGGUGGAGGAGCUGAUGGAGGCCCUGCCUGGUGGAGGAGCUGAUGGAGGCCCUGCCUGGUGGAGGAGCCAUGCUGAAGGCCCUGCCUGGUGGAGGAGCUGACGGAGGCCCUGCCUGGUGGAGGAUGUCUGUCGUGGGGACUCUGGUUUGGAGGAGAGCUGAUGGGGAGCUGAUGGAGGAGCUGAGUCGCUGGAGGACGACUAGGAAUCGACCAACAAGGAUUCCUCAACGUGUUUCUGGAGCGGAGGCGAGCUGA
rnacentral:lncRNA from 1 species